AACGUAGGACGCGAGCGUUAUCCGGAGUUACUGGGCGUAAAGCGCGGGCAGGCGGUCUGACAAGUCUGAUGUGAAAUCUCCGGGCUUAACCGGGAGAGGCCAUUGGAAACUGACAGGCUGGAGGGCAGUAGAGGUAGGCGGAAUUCCUGGUGUAGCGGUGAAAUGCGCAGAUAUCAGGAGGAACACCAGCGGCGAAGGCGGCGCUCUGGGCCGGAACUGACGCUGAGGAGCGAAAGCGUGGGUAGCAAACAGG
rnacentral:rRNA from 1 species